UAUUGAGCUGAAAUUAAACCUAAACCCAAAAAGUCAUUAAUAAUUUAUGCUUAGCUUGAUCAAAGCGUUCAUAUGUAAUGUACGAUUCGAUCAGCAACCUGUAUUAAUUAAGUUAAUAUAACCCACCUCCAUUAUUCCUUCAUCUAUCAUCACCCUCUCCAUUAUUCCUUCAACCCAGCUAUAAUCACCUUCUCCAACAUUUAUAGAUUAAAAAGUGUCGGUUGCUGUAGAAGAGCCACGCUAAUCAUAUUGGUGAUCAGAGCAACAGCUUGAAAGGUGACCUGUAUUAAUUGUUUAUUUUGAAGUAUCUUCUUCCUCUUUUGCUGAACUUCAUCCAUUAACAAUCUCUACACAACCACAUUAACGCUCCCGUCUGCCGCUAAUAUCACCGAUAGAUACUUUCUCUUUCACUACGCAGUUUGUUCCCUUUAUCAUAUAUCUUGCUGCAGGUGCUCAGUAAAGGAGAUACCUUUAUGAGAGGAUCUGGAUUCGACGUAAUUAGGCCCCACCCAAUUAACACCGCCAGAGGUAAUAAAUGAAAGCUCAUGAAAUCAUGGAAACUGUUCAGGCCAGGUUCAGUAAGGGAUCAAAAACCCUAAAGCUUUCAUUGUUUUCAUCCAACGUGUCACAACUAACAAGGGUGACCAGGUCGAUCGAUAGGCAAACUUGUACAUAUCUCUAAGGUUGGAUUUUUUUUCCCAUUUAGACAUGUAGAAGUAUUGAUCGGUUGCUCUAGAUUUUUCCAAAAAUCUUAUUUGUUUAUGAAUUAUAUUUUAAUUUUAUAUAUCUAAAACAAAAUGGAACUUUUUAUUUAUAAAUAGAGUAUAUAUAAUAUUGAUAAUUAAUAUUUUAUUAUUAUGAUUUUUGAAAGUAAGAUAAUAUUUUAUAUCAUUUUUUUUAAGUCACAAAAAUAAGAAAUUNNNNNNNNNNNNNNNNNNNNNNNNNNNNNNNNNNNNNNNNNNNNNNNNNNNNNNNNNNNNNNNNNNNNNNNNNNNNNNNNNNNNNNNNNNNNNNNNNNNNNNNNNNNNNNNNNNNNNNNNNNNNNNNNNNNNNNNNNNNNNNNNNNNNNNNNNNCUAAGUCAUUAAGAGCAUUAUCGUAAUCAUACAAAUUUCAUUUAAUGUUUAAUUUUUUGUGUUAUUAGAAAUAUUAAUAGAAAUGUCUAAAACAUUACAUAAUUAAUCAAAUUUUCGGAUCUUUUAAAAAAUAGUAUUUUUCAAUUUUUUUAAAAAGUGCAUAUUUUUAAAUUUUUAUAGAAAACAUGAAUUUAUGAAAAAAUAUUUAUUUUUAAAAAAUUGGAAUUUUUUUAAAAACUUUUAAAAAUCAAUAAAAUAAAAUAAUAAAAAAACUUGAAUAUUUAAAAAAUACUAUAAUUUUUUAACCAAAAAAAAUCAAUAUUUUAGGUACAUAUAUACAUAUUUUUACAAAUGUAUAUAUGCAUAUUUCAUAUACUAUAAUAUUUGUAAGGAAAUCAUAAGAAAACUCAUUUUAUUUACUAAGCUAUAAGUAGAAUAAGUAUUUUAUUUGAUAUAAAAUAAAAUAUAAAAAACAAAAAAAUAAAAAGCAUUUUCAUGUCUUCGUGUCAAUAUUUUCAUCUUUUCUUCAAUGUAUUAUUUUUCACCUAUUCAAUAUUCACAACAAUUUCUUCCAAAUCUACAAGAAAAUUUAAAAAAAAAAUGAUUAAUUCAAAAACACUCACAAAAAUACACAUGUUAUUCAUAAGUGAAUUAUAUGUGAUUUACAUAUGAAUCACAUGUAAUUCAUAUGUGAAUUAAAUGUGAAUCACAUGUGAAUUACAUGUUAAUCAUAUGUGAUUUACAUAUAAAUCACAUCAAAUUACAACGUUGAACUUUUUAUAAAUUUAGAUAAGUAAAAAAGAAACAACCAUAGUUGUCUAAAUUUAGCUGCUGAACUUCUUAAGCCCAUUAAGUAAAAAAGAAAACUACUCAUGAGUUGUAUUAAGAAAGAAAAUAGAGAUCAAAGAUUCAAAUCUACUUUCAAAGUUAUAAACCAAUUUUAAAUAAGAUAUUAUAAGCCAAGAGAAUAAAACAUGACUCACCAUAAAAUAAAGGUAAAAAAAAUCGAUGAACAAUCCAUGUCUAGAAACAGAGACUAACCUCAUGAACAUAUUUAUUCUCAUCCAUGUUAAGUAAAUCAUGGCACAUAGCAUCAAAUCUCCAUUCAUUAAUAACAAGAGCAAUCUAGAAAAAAAAAAUAAGAAAAAUUAAUAACAACAAAUUUGCAAUAGGAAUAUAUAAUAAUGUAUGAAGUAUGAACCUGGUCGAUUUCUCUAUCUAGAAUGAGCAACUCGCAGGUUUCUGUUUGAGGAAAGUUGAAGUUUUUGAGAACUUUAUAUUUCAUAAGACAAUCCCAAACUGCUGCAACAAUAAUUCAUACGGGUUGUUUUAUUGACAAUUUCCACGUUAUGUAUCAAGAAAAAAAUCCAUGCUUAUUGUUUUACUGAUUUGAGAAACUAAUUAGGUGCAAGAACUCGGUGAUGAACUUGAUGCAACAAAAAGCACUAGUUUUCUUUGUGCAGCAACUAUCAAAAACUUUGAACGGAUAGAUUAGAUUUGAGUAAACACACAAAAAAAUAUUAUUUUAUUUGUUUGGAAAACUGGAUUACCUAAAUACCAAAUUUAUGGUUCAAACCAUUUAAGCUAUUCAGAUUGGUUAAUCUGGGUAACUAGAUUUUGAUUGGGAUAUCCAACAAUUUCAUAACAUAUAAAUUGAUUUUUUUCUGUAGUAUUUACUUGCUCGAGUUUCUGAUGUGGCCGAUUCUAUAUAAAAAAACUACAAUCUAAUCAUUUGACAAGACCAUGCAUUGCUAGACCAUUGAUCAUGGCAUUCCAAACAGAAACAUGAUGGUGUUUUACACUUUCCAAAAUUGCUUUUGAUGUUUCAAUUCUACCACAUUUUGAGUACAUGUCUACAAGUGCAGAACUCAUAAUAAAAUUGAGUUCGAUUCUUUUUUCGGUUAGCAAACCAUGUAUCCAUUUAGCUUGGUCUAAAAUUUAAACACAUAUAGGGUUUGAAAUUACCUCCUUAAAGUGUAAUUCAACAAGACGAAGGUUGGAUGGGGGAAAACCAACGGAUUUUCAGCCACUAGGGUUACUGCCAACAAAGUGCCGCCACAACUCCAUCUUGUUUCACAGAGCUUCUUUCUUCUUGUUUCUCCUAAUUACACAGUAACGAAACUAACGACUAGACAGCAGUACGUUAAAAACUCGGUAUACUCGAUCACUUAUCACUCUACUUUAGAACAGAGUUAGCUUUGAUGCAUCGACGCUGCUAGGUUCGAUUUUAAGGCAUGUGAGUUCGAUUUUAAUGCGUGUGAGUUUGAUUUUAAAUCACACAAUUACUAUAGGGAAAUAUGCAUAAAAAUCCCUAUAUUUUGGCUCUAUUGACAAAAAAAUCACCUCUAAUUAUUUUUGCAAUUUAACCGGCUAUUACAUGCAAUUUGGCUCAAUUUUUAAGUUACCGCAAACAAUAGCAUGUUUCAUUGGUUAAAAUGUAAAUAAAAUAUCAAGGGUGACUUUUUUUUUUCAAUAUGUCAAAAUA
rnacentral:lncRNA from 1 species